rnacentral:rRNA from 1 species
GAUGAACGCUGGCGGCGUGCUUAACACAUGCAAGUCGAACGAAGCACUUUAUUUGAUUUCCUUCGGGACUGAUUAUUUUGUGACUGAGUGGCGGACGGGUGAGUAACGCGUGGGUAACCUGCCUUGUACAGGGGGAUAACAGUUGGAAACGGCUGCUAAUACCGCAUAAGCGCACAGCAUCGCAUGAUGCAGUGUGAAAAACUCCGGUGGUAUAAGAUGGACCCGCGUUGGAUUAGCUAGUUGGUGAGGUAACGGCCCACCAAGGCGACGAUCCAUAGCCGACCUGAGAGGGUGACCGGCCACAUUGGGACUGAGACACGGCCCAAACUCCUACGGGAGGCAGCAGUGGGGAAUAUUGCACAAUGGGCGAAAGCCUGAUGCAGCGACGCCGCGUGAGCGAAGAAGUAUUUCGGUAUGUAAAGCUCUAUCAGCAGGGAAGA